CGAAUUAUAACUUAAUAGGUAAAGUAUCUGGUCUUGAUCCAGAGAAUACAAGUUCAAAUCUUGUUAAUUCAC
rnacentral:tRNA from 1 species